GAUCAUGGCUCAGAUUGAACGCUAGCGGGAUGCCUUACACAUGCAAGUCGAACGGCAGCGCGGACUUCGGUCUGGCGGCGAGUGGCGAACGGGUGAGUAAUGUAUCGGAACGUGCCCAGUAGCGGGGGAUAACUACUACGAAAGAGUAGCUAAUACCGCAUACGCCCGUACGGGGAAGGGGGGACCUUCGGGCCUACCGCGAUUGGAUGCACCCAUGUGGGAUUAGCUAGUUGGUGAGGUAACGGCUCACCAAGGCGACGAUCUCUAGCUGGUCUGAGAGGAUGAUCAGUCACACUGGAACUGAGACACGGUCCAGACUCCUACGGGAGGCAGCAGUGGGGAAUAUUGGACAAUGGGCGAAAGCCUGAUCCAGCCAUGCCGCGUGUGUGAAGAAGGUCUUCGGAUUGUAAAGCACUUUAAGUUGGGAGGAAGGGCAGUAACCUAAUACGUUAUUGUUUUGACGUUACCGACAGAAUAAGCACCGGCUAACUUCGUG
rnacentral:rRNA from 1 species